rnacentral:lncRNA from 1 species
GACGUAAAGAAACCAAGUGACACUGAGAGAUGUGGAGGGUAAACAAGUGGUAUUUCACCAAAUACACACAGAGAGAACAGCACAUUUAAAUCUGGAUUCAAAUAUCCUUGAUUGAAAUCAAUAUGGCAGUGGUAAUUUUCUCUUGGAUUCCUUUGGUGUAAAUUUACAUGAAGUCAUCAAACAAAAGGAAAGAAAAUCUAAAAAGCUAUCAUCUCAUUUAUGCUCAGAAUUUUAAGAUACAUCAUAUGAAGAUAUAAAGGCAUUUGACAAGAACUCAAAGCCAAGAAACCAUGACAACAUAUCUGAUUUUGUACUUCCCUUUCUAAAAUAAGCUGGUCCAUUAUGAGGUUAAAAAAAAAGCAGC